CCACACAGCCAGAUCACCCUGCAGCUCAAGAAUGAAGGAAAGCAGAGCUGAGCCUUGUCAGUACCUGGAUGGGAGACCACAUGGGAAAACUGGAUUGCUGUUGGAA
rnacentral:rRNA from 1 species